rnacentral:miRNA from 1 species
CAGUUAAAUAUGAAUUUCAGAGAAACAAUAAAAAAUGCCUUUUCAGUAUAUCUGUGUCCAGUGCAAUAUUUGGGACAAACUUAUACUAAAAAAUUUACUAGUUUUUUCUCUGAAGUUCAAAUUUA